rnacentral:rRNA from 1 species
GGGGGGGUGGGGGGGGGUGGAUAGACAACAGGGAUGCCCUAGUAACGGCGAGUGAAGCGGCAACAGCUCAAAUUUGAAAUCUGGCGUCUUCGGCGUCCGAGUUGUAAUUUGCAGAGGGCGCUUUGGCAUUGGCAGCGGUCCAAGUUCCUUGGAACAGGACGUCACAGAGGGUGAGAAUCCCGUACGUGGUCGCUAGCCUUUACCGUGUAAAGCCCCUUCGACGAGUCGAGUUGUUUGGGAAUGCAGCUCUAAAUGGGAGGUAAAUUUCUUCUAAAGCUAAAUACUGGCCAGAGACCGAUAGCGCACAAGUAGAGUGAUCGAAAGAUGAAAAGCACUUUGGAAAGAGAGUUAAAAAGCACGUGAAAUUGUUGAAAGGGAAGCGCUUGCAGCCAGACUUGCCUGUAGUUGCUCAUCCGGGUUUUUACCCGGUGCACUCUUCUAUAGGCAGGCCAGCAUCAGUUUGGGCGGUUGGAUAAAGGUCUCUGUCAUGUACCUCUCUUCGGGGAGAACUUAUAGGGGAGACGACAUGCAACCAGCCUGGACUGAGGUCCGCGCAUCUGCUAGGAUGCUGGCGUAAUGGCUGUAAGCGGCCCGUCUUGAAACACGGACCAAGGAGUCUAACAUCUAUGCGAGUGUUUGGGUGUCAAGCCCGAGCGCGUAAUGAAAGUGAACGGAGGUGGGAACCUUUCGGGGUGCACCAUCGACCGAUCCUGAUGUCUUCGGAUGGAUUUGAGUAAGAGCAUAGCUGUUGGGACCCGAAAGAUGGUGAACUAUGCUUGAAUAGGGUGAAGCCAGAGGAAACUCUGGUGGAGCUCGCAGCGGUUUCUGACGUGCAAAUCGAUCGUCAAAUUUGGGCAUAGGGGGCGAAAGGACUGAUCGAACUAUCUAGUAGCUGGUUCCUGCCGAUCUC